UACGAAGGGGGCUAGCGUUGUUCGGAUUUACUGGGCGUAAAGCGCACGUAGGCGGAUCGUUAAGUGAGGGGUGAAAUCCCACGGGCUCAACCCUGGAAGCUGCCUUUCAUACUGGCGAUCUUGAGUCCGGAAGAGGUGAGUGGAACUCCUAGUGUAGAGGUGGAAUUCGUAGAUAUUAGGAAGAACACCAGUGGCGAAGCGGCUCACUGGUCCGAUACUGACACUGAGGAGCGAAAGCGUGGAGGCGAACGAGAUU
rnacentral:rRNA from 1 species